AUUGAACGCUGGCGGCAGGCCUAACACAUGCAAGUCGAGCGGAUGAAGGGAGCUUGCUCCUGGAUUCAGCGGCGGACGGGUGAGUAAUUCCUAGGAAUCUGCCUGGUAUUUGGGGAUAACGUCCGUAAACGGGCGCUAAUACCGCAUACGUCCUGAUGUAGAAAGUGGGGGAUCUUCGGACCUCACGCUAUCAGAUGAGCCUAGGUCGGAUUAGCUAGUUGGUGGGGUAAAGGCCUACCAAGGCGACGAUCCGUAACUGGUCUGAGAGGAUGAUCAGUCACACUGGAACUGAGACACGGUCCAGACUCCUACGGGAGGCAGCAGUGGGGAAUAUUGGACAAUGGGCGAAAGCCUGAUCCAGCCAUGCCGCGUGUGUGAAGAAGGUCUUCGGAUUGUAAAGCACUUUAAGUUGGGAGGAAGGGCAGUAAGUUAAUACCUUGCUGUUUUGACGUUACCAACAGAAUAAGCACCGGCUAACUUCGUG
rnacentral:rRNA from 1 species